UCUUUGCUAUCCUCUUCAAUGCCUCUUUCAGUGUAGGAAGUUAAAAUCAGUUAUGUAAUGGAAUUGAAUGAAGCAAGUGUCAGAUCUACAUCUCUACAAACACUCACUUUAUCAGUUCAGAGAAUAAAGAGAUGAAUUUAAUAAUGCCACUGGACACUUAUACUCUAUCGGAUCCUAAUAAUUUCUCACACUAAUGAAUUCUUCUAUCAACUUCAUGUUAAUCAAGAGGAGACAGAGCCAAGAAGUGAGUAAUUGCUUACUGAAUUGUGAAAGCUGGGAUGAUUUAACUACAGAAGCCCUACAAGCCAGAAGAGAGUUGGGGCCAAUAUUUAACAUUCUUAAAGAAAAGAAUUUUCAACCCAGAAUUUCAUAUCCAGCCAAAUUGAGCUUCAUAAGCGAAGAAGAAAUAAAAUAUUUUACAGACAAGCAAAUGCUGAGAGAUUUUGUCACCACCAGGCCUGCCUUACAAGAGCUCCUGAAGGAAGUACUAAAUAUGGAAAGGAAAAACCUGUACCAGCCACUGCAAAAACAUAACAAAUUAUAAAGACCAUCGAAACUGUGAAAAAGCUGCAUCAGCUAACAGGCAAAAUAAGCAGCUAGCAUCAUAAUGACAGGAACAAAUUCACACAUAACAAUAUUAACCUUAAAUAUAAAUGGGCUAAAUGCCCCAAUUAAAAGACACAGACUGGCAAAUUGGAUAAAGAGUCAAGACCCAUCAGUGUGCUGUAUUCAGGAGACCCAUCUCAUGUGCAAAGACACACAUAGGCUCAAAAUAAAGGGAUGGAGGAAUAUUUACCAAGCAAAUGGAAAGCAAAAAAAAGCAGGGGUUGCAAUCCUAGUCUCUGAUAAAACAGACUUUAAACCAACAAAGAUAAAAAAAGACAAAGAAGGGCAUUAUGUAAUGGUAAAAGGAUCAAUGCAACAAGAAGAGCUAACUAUCCUAAAUACAUAUGCACCCAAUACAGGAGCACCGAGAUUCAUAAAGUAAGUUUUUAGAGACUUUUAUUUGUAAAAUUAAAAUACUUACAUUGUAUUUUGCUAUCCGUUGAUAUAAUUAUUAAAAUUUAAUAUGUUUACCUGUACUCAGAAU
ensembl:lncRNA LINC02822 long intergenic non-protein coding RNA 2822